rnacentral:sRNA from 1 species
CUCUCACGCCCAUGGCGGGCGUUUCCUCCCUUCGACUUAAGGCCCUGUCCGACCCCGGACAGGGCCUUCUUGUUACCGGA